rnacentral:rRNA from 1 species
AGAUAGCUUGCUAUCUGCUGACGAGCGGCGGACGGGUGAGUAAUGCUUGGGAAUAUGCCUUAUGGUGGGGGACAACAGUUGGAAACGACUGCUAAUACCGCAUAACGUCUACGGACCAAAGGAGGGGAUCUUCGGACCUUUCGCCAUUUGAUUAGCCCAAGUGAGAUUAGCUAGUAGGUGAGGUAAAGGCUCACCUAGGCGACGAUCUCUAGCUGGUUCGAGAGGAUGAUCAGCCACACUGGGACUGAGACACGGCCCAGACUCCUACGGGAGGCAGCAGUGGGGAAUAUUGCACAAUGGGCGAAAGCCUGAUGCAGCCAUGCCGCGUGUGUGAAGAAGGCCUUCGGGUUGUAAAGCACUUUCAGUUGUGAGGAAAGGGGUGUAGUUAAUAACUGCAUUCUGUGACGUUAACAACAGAAGAAGCACUGGCUAACUUCGUGCCAUCAUCCGCGGUUAUACGAGGGGUGCAUGCGUUAAUCGGAAUU